GUUCAUGAAGAAAUUGGAGACGGUGGAAAGCUCCAGGCCCAGCUGUUGGGAGAUGGUGAGCUGCAUCUCCUUGGAGGGACGGCGGUUCUCUCGGAAGAUGGCUACCAAGCUUCAUCACUGAGGAGUUUCAUGACGGGUGAGGACGGUGAAAGAAAUGUACGGUGGAGGCAGUUGCCAGAUGUUGCAUUGCUUUGACGUUGCUGGCUCGUGCAAUCUCACUUGAUUGUGAAGUUCCACAAUUGCAUCAUCGUUUUACUGGACACGCCAUUAGGAGACAACGGGGAGGAAAUAAGGAUUCAGGCCAACGGAAUGAUGUGCUGGUCCAGAGCCAGACAUGAAAUGAGGAGGAGGAGGAGGAGGAAACAAGGGAAGGAAGGAAGGAAGGAAGGAGAGCUGGAGCGCACCGAAGAGAGCAGAAGAGAGGAAAUCAAUAGCGAUUCAGAGCCAGUCAGAUAAGCCUGAACAAUGUAUAGUGCAGACACACUCUAUAACCCGCUCACACACACAUUCAUACACGUGAACACACACACACACACUGCACACCUCCGCGAAGACUUAUUACAAAGGCCAUAAAGCGAGCCCUAAAAUCAAAUGACACGUAGCUGCCGAUGAGGAUUUGCGGACAUGAGCGGAAAGCAUCGCGAGUGGCUCUAAAUCGGAUGCUCUCGGUGAGCUCCUAAUAUCAGCCGUGGCGAAACUCCUUUGUUGCACUUUGGCCACCCCCGGGUUAUAUUUUUGAGCAUUUUGCGGCUGUAAAUCUACACCAUGUUUGUCAGGAUGUUGAGGGGGGGGGGGGGUUCUCCCCAAACCACUUACACGCCCUUUCUCGUGCCACGAGGCCGCGAGAUGGAGCGUCAAACCACAGAUUUGACUUUGCUUACCUAGAAGAUGCUGUUACAAGCAGCUUACGCCGCCACUUUCCGCCCUGCCUUUCUUCCCCCCCUGGCCCUCCGUCUCCCUCAUACUUAUCAAUUAUUAAAGUCGCUAUUGAUCCUUUCGCUAGCCUGCCUCUAUCAGGCUGUUUCACACAAAGCGCAGACCUGGCUGCCUUCGCUCAAUCAAUGGCAUCUCGCAGCCUUUUUUUACUGUACGUGCAGCUCUUCUAUUGCAUGUCAUUUCCCCACCCAAGCCGGCCCGGGCGGGCCCUCCUCUGAAGUUUCAUCCGACUCGGAUCCCAAUGUGUGAAAUCCACCGAUGAAAUCUCAGAGAGUCGAGUCCGUCGUUAACGUGAGAGCGAGGUUUCGCUCGGCUCGGCUUUCACCCUCUGCCUCCUCCGAUCCAUUAGGCGUUCCGCUUCUUUCGAGCUAAACCAACUGGCUGCCUGUUACUAAGGUUAGCCAGCAGGCUUGUGUUUUCAUGACGUUACCGGCAUGAUGCGGAGCGUGGAGGGGGGAAAUGUAUAGAAAAGUGGGGGCGGGAAGGGGAGAUCGGGAAACGGCACUAUUGAUCUCCAAUGUGCAAAGCCAGGCAAACACAAAAAGGAUGGCGGUACACUAUUAAUGACACUCAGAACCUCAUUUGAUAAUCCACAUCCAUCCCAUCCAUCCAUCUAUUUAUCUCUCUAUUGACAUCUCUUCGUACGCUAAUUGGAAAAUGCUGGGAUUUUUUUUCGCCUCAUUUCUGGAUUAAUGUCAACAAAUAGAAUUGGUGUGAAGUUGAAUUAACACUUCACACGACACCGACAUCGUCUGCGGCAAGUUAAUACGAUUUCAACAAUUCUCCCUCUGCCGGGUUCUGCGUAAAAGGCAGAAAAAUUGCGCCGUCCUUCCGCACUACCUUGACGUUGCAGGACCUUGCGUGUAAAAUGAACUUCUCUGUCUGUUUUUCACGAUAGCCGACCUGUAUUGAGCGACGACACCUCAAGAAAUAUCGCUCGGCACACCAACAAACAAAAAAUGUCACACGCAAAAAAAAAAAAAGGCUGCGUCAAGAACUAAUGAGGAUCUCGAUUCGCUCGCAAAUGGAUUUGUCGGUGUGAAAUCUGAAGCUUUUGAAUCGAACACAAAGCUGGACUUGCCUGAAGUAACUUAUUCUGUUGUCUGAGUGGCUGAGAUAUCAUGACAAAGGUCAACGUUGUUUGCUCCUGGUUUCCCAAUCUUGUCAGCUAAUUAAUGCAGAACACCCGAAGAAGUUUUUCCUCAGCCUUUAAACAGCCUCGGUCUCGCGUAGUAGGCUUGACGAUCAUGGGGAAUACCACUGAUGUGACGGUUGCGCAAGAAUGGAGAAAAGCUGUCGAAAAGAAGCUGGAUGCUCUCAGAGCGCCGUAUCCAAAGUACAUGACCGGAGUGUUAAGUGGAAAAGGGGACACGUGGACGGAAAAGGUGCACAAGUGACAGGGAUUGCCAGAGCAUUGUCAAAGCGGUGGCGAUUCAGAAAUCGGACAGAGCUUCAUGUCAGUGCGUCAAGAAUCGCCACAUAGCGACGUCGGCAUGACACACAGGCUGCAAGCUAGCUGUAGAAUUCCACGCGUCAAGCCACUCCUAAACCCAAGACGUGAGAAGCGUCUACGCUGGGCUAAGGAGAGAAGAGUACUCGUCUCUUGGACUUAUUCAGAGGCAAGUCCGUUUUGCAUUUGCUUUAGAAAUCAAAGUCGGCAAGUCUGAAGGAAAGCCGGGGAAGCGCAAAAGUCAAGCUGCUUCAAGUCCAGUGUGAAGGUUCCUCGGUCACUCGAGGAGAGCCACGUCAUUUGCUGGCGCGGUUCCAUUCUUUGUCUAGUCCACAAUCAACGCAUCUGUUGACCAUGAAAUUUUAGAGCACCACUGAGAUUUUUGGACACCGGUGCUUUUUUAUUUUCCAGCGGGAUUUGGCACCUGCCCACAAAGCCCAAACUACCAAUACUUGAUUGGAAUAACAGUACUCGAUUGGCCACCAAAUUUGCCUGAUGUGAACCCCAUCGCAAAUUGAUGGAGUAUUGUCAAUAGGAAGAUGUUGCCACACCACUUUGAUGCUGUCAUGAAUGCAAAAGGAAGCCGCCCCCCCUUUUUUUUUUUUUUUU